rnacentral:rRNA from 1 species
UACGUAGGGGGCAAGCGUUGUCCGGAAUUAUUGGGCGUAAAGAGCGCGUAGGCGGUCCGGUAAGUCGGUUGUGAAAGUCGGGGGCUCAACCCUCGGAUGCCGAUCGAUACUGUCGGGCUAGAGUCCGGAAGAGGCGAGUGGAAUUCCUGGUGUAGCGGUGAAAUGCGCAGAUAUCAGGAGGAACACCAAUGGCGAAGGCAGCUCGCUGGGACGGUACUGACGCUGAGGAGCGAAAGCGUGGGGAGCGAACAGG